UUGCUCAUCAAGUGGUGCCAACAGACAUCUAAGACCUUUGUUCGAGGUGGAAUAUCAACCCUGACGACAAGCCAAAGGCUGAUUCCGAAGAUGACAGGUAAAUGGUUGAAAAAUGGGGGUUACUUUUCGGAGAAUUGAAGUAUGUAAAUUUUAGUUCUGAUCUGGUUUGAAAGAUCUGAAGAGGUACGAAUUUCGAAAUUUGUUUGAAUUCUUAUUCUUCAUGAGUUGCUUGGUUUGCAUUAAUGAUCUUUGAACUUUCUAUGGACAUGAAUGACCAACAUGGUAAAUAGGUUAGAUUGUGUAAGCAUUGGUAAUUAUAUUAAGUUAUCAAUGAGUAACUUGGCAAUUUGCAUAGUUUCAUUUGCUAUGUCUUAGUCAAUUUCAUAUGAUCCAUGCAUUUAUUAAUCUCUUCGUCUGUUUUCUAUGUCAUGUCUAUCUUCUCUGCCGAUCUAGUUUUUCUCAGUGGGUCCCAUCUUUCUUAAUAAACUCUUGUUGUGUUCUCAUAAAGCUACGAGAAUUUCAAGAUAUCAAGCGGAUAUCCAUCUCUUGUUGGUCAAGGAUCUGGUAGUCCUCUGAGUACCCUACACCCAUGAGUCAUUCUCCUAGUUAAACUUGCAGUCAUCAUUUGCUAGAUUUUCCUUGAAAAAGUAAUUGGAUAUGAAAUCUAUGUGUUUAAUUCAGUUUGAUUUGGUCUGACCUUCUCUACAUUAGGAUGAUCUUGAGUGCCGGAUUUUCAUGCUUAGGCUUCCGAAGCAUAGCCCAAGGACCGUACUAGAUAAUGGCAGGAGAAGACAAUCGGGUCGC